GCAAAUUUUUCUUGAUAAACUACACAUUUGUGUAUAACCUUUAUCCACCAAUCUUGCUUUAAACCUCUCCACAAAACCCUUUGCCUCAUGUUUCACUGUGAAUACCCACUUGCAACCAUCUUCUUUCCCUCCAGUAGCUCAACUAGUUCCAAGUAACAUUUCUUUUGUAAUGCAUCCAUUUCUUCAAUCAUGAUUGAAGGGAAUUAAAGAUUACAUCGUUCCCAUGCCUUAAAUCUCAUUAGGUGCAUGCAACUAUUCCUAGGGUUACUAGAUCCUAUGCACAAUGGAAAACAAUAACAUUUAAAACUUUGUUGGAUCUAGAGGCCCUGCAGGGGGUAUAUUGGUCUUUUGGAAUAAUCAGGUCUUGAAUUUAUUGGAAUGAAAAUGGAUGCCUUUUCCAUUUUCUGUGGUUUUAAAAACUGUGACAAAAAAUUUGUGUGGAUGUUCUCAGGGGGUUAUGGCCUAGUCCAAAAUGAGGGGGGAGAGGAGUUCUGGAUGAAGUUAUGUGAUAUUAGAGGCCUUUAGAGAGGGGAUUUUAAUGUUAUGAGAUUCCUGGGGAAAGGAGGAACCAUCAAGGAAGAUUGGCAACAAUGAGACACCUCUUGGAAUUUAUACAGGAGCUAGAGCUGAAAAAUCACCCUCUGGCUGGUGGCUCCUUUACAUGGAGUGGUGGUUUAAAUGAUCAGUUUGCCUCUAGGUUGGUGGACUAUUUUCUAGUUAUUGAAGGAUGGGAGAAUCAUUCCAGUGGUUUGACUUAGAGCAUUCUGCCAAGACUUGUUUCUGAUCAUGUUCUUAUUUUGUUAGAUGGAGGAGGGAUAAGGAGAUGAGAAAUGCCUUUAAGAUUUUUCAGUUUAUUCUUAUUAUUCCAUCACUUGUGGUUUAUUCCUGACCAUGGCAUAGUUUGAAGUUCUAUUUUUGUCUUCUUUUUUUUAAAAAAAUAAAUAAAUUCUCAGCCUAAAUUCUGAUUAUUUCUUUGGACGUCAAGUAUUUAUUAUCAUUGUUUUAGGUGUCAAGUAUUAAAAACUUCAAGGGUAUUAAUCAAUGAUUGUUUAAAACUUGCUAUUGUUUCAAGCACUUGUCGUCUUUAACUGAUUACUUAUGAAGAUAUUUUGUUAUCUGGUGAAUGGGUUCUCAAUCUGUUUUUUUUUGUGGUAAACUUGUAAUGGUUGUAACAAUUGGAUCUUCUUGUUUUUGAAUGAUGAUCAGGUACUAUGGCCUGAAUGUGGUUGGCAGCCUGUUUCUUUGACUAAUAUGAUUACUGCUGCUUCAGUUAAAAAAGUUUAUAGAAAGGCCACUUUGUGCAUCCACCCUGAUAAGGUGCAGCAGAAAGGUGCUAAUCUUCAACAAAAGUACAUUGCUGAGAAGGUUUUUAACCUCCUUAAGGGGGAGAUUUGGCUGCUGAUGUUACUCAUUUGUCUGGUCGGCCAGUGUAGGACUCCUCAACUCUGGAGAGUAUUCUUAAGAAACCGCAUGUACAAUAUAAAGUUCUGGAUAAACAUGGUUUUGGAAAUGAACUUCUGUCCAAAAUAGAGAAAGAAUGUGUGGACAUUGAUAUCAAGUAUGAGGGCUUUAUUAUGCUGCAGCAGAGCCAGCUCUAGCAGAUGGCUUAUCAGCAACACAGACCACUACCAGAGAGGACUUGGAUUACUAUGCAAUGACGACUUUGUCUUGAGGCUCGUGAGAAACUAUCCAAGAUCCGCCCACAAACCAUUGGUCAAGCAAGUAGAGUGGGUGGAGUGAGCCCUGCUGACAUUACUGCUCUUCUCAUCAUCCUUGAAGAAGAAAAGCCCCGGAACAAAGAAGGCGCCAGAUGCUGACUUCCGUCAUGGUAGAUCAGGACAAAUGUAUUUCCGCUCCUCUUCCUGAGACACUCAAUCCUCAGAAAAUCUGCUAGGAACUGUGGUUGUAUGCGGUGUUUGUCAGAUAUCUGAAAAAAAAAUGCCAAAUAUUCGAGCAUAUAGAGCAAGGUGAUGUAGUCUUCCAAAGGAACAAUCCAGACGGAAAGCAAUUGAAAGGAAAUGCAUAGGUAUUUGCAUGAUCCCCAGACAUAAGAAACUUGAAUGCCCAAUCCUGCUAAGUGAAGGUUUGGUUUUAUCAAAAAGGCGAGACUCAUUGCAUCCGCUCGGCAGUUGGCACUGCCAAUGAGGAGCGUAUAGGUUUGUAGGAAUAUCAUAAAGCAUUUUUCAUUUUAGAGAACCCCUUUUGGCUAGAGAUGUCUCUCAAAUGUAAAUGAAUUAUUGAUUUAGGGUCACUCUGUUGAUUAAUUACUAUACACAGCAGAGCAGAGCAAUUACUAGUAAUAAAAAUAAAAUGAUUUUUUUGUUUU